rnacentral:rRNA from 1 species
UACAGAGGUCUCAAGCGUUUGUUCGGAUUCAUUGGGCGUAAAGGGGUGGCGUAGGCGGCGCGGUAAGUCGGGUGUGAAAUCUCGGGGCUUAACUCCGAAACUGCAUUCGAUACUGCCGUGCGUUGAGGACUGGAGAGGAGACUGGAAUUUACGGUGUAGCGGUGAAAUGCGUAGAUAUCAGGAGGAACACCGGUGGCGGAAGGCGGUUCUCCUGGGCAUUACCCUGACGCUGGAGGAGCGAAAGUGUGGGGAGCGAACAUGGAUG